GAUGAACGCUAGCGGCAGGCUUAACACAUGCAAGUCGAGGGGUAUUUGUCUUCGGACAGAGAGACCGGCGCACGGGUGCGUAACGCGUAUGCAACCUACCUUUUACAGAGGGAUAGCCCAGAGAAAUUUGGAUUAAUACAUCAUAGUAUACAGAGUUGGCAUCAACACUGUAUUAAAGUUCCAACGGUAAAAGAUGGGCAUGCGUCCCAUUAGCUAGAUGGUAAGGUAACGGCUUACCAUGGCUAUGAUGGGUAGGGGUCCUGAGAGGGAGAUCCCCCACACUGGUACUGAGACACGGACCAGACUCCUACGGGAGGCAGCAGUGAGGAAUAUUGGUCAAUGGACGCAAGUCUGAACCAGUCAUGCCGCGUGCAGGAUGACGGUCCUAUGGAUUGUAAACUGCUUUUGUACGGGAAGAAACAACAUUACGUGUAAUGUCUUGACGGUACCGUAAGAAUAAGGAUCGGCUAACUCCGUGCCAGCCGCCGCGGUAACAC
rnacentral:rRNA from 1 species